AGAAAGAUAGCGGACGCAGGACAUGAAAGGUGCUAAAGUCUGAGGAAAGUGGCAACUUCCAGCCAAGUCUGCAAAAGAAGCACACACGGGUCAGUUCUCUGAGCUCAUCGGUUUUGUCUUUAGCGUAAGCAGCCAAGCAUCAAACAAUGUCUGGUCCUCACGAUGGUCCCCCUCAUCAUGGGCCUCCUCAUCAUGGUCCACCACAUGAUGGACCACCUCAUGAUUGGCAACCACAUGAUGGACCACCACACCAUGGACCACCUCAUGAUGGCCCUCCUCAUUUUGGACCCCCACCUCACCAUGGACCACAUCAUGAACCUCCUCCAGAACCUGACUCAUGCUGCUGCACAAUAAUUUGAUGGAAUUUCUACCACAACUGUUCAACAAAGACUUAUGGAAUAUAAAAAAAAGUAAACAUAUUCCCUUGACUAGUGAUACUACAACAGUUUCCAAAAACUAUAAUAUGACUGUUUUACUGAAUUUAUGGUUUUGAAAUGCUGUCUUCAGAAUUUAUCAUAGACAUUUGUCAAGAAGUAAAGGAUAUUUUUUUAUUUUAUUUAUAAAUUUGUGUAUGCUAAUUAAACUCAUGUAUGCUAAUUACAACUCAUUCUUAAAUCAACAUUAUUAUAACUCUGUCAAGAUCCACAGGUACUUGAUACUGUGUUUAUUGAAUUUUUUUAAAGGAAAUAUCAUAAAACUGUGCUAGUAAAUUUGUUACUGACUAUUUCUUCAAAGGAUAUCCCAUAAUGUCAGGCUAUAUGACACAAAUGAGUAAGAUUAUUAAAAGGCCAAGCCAUUUGAGAAUCAGCUAAAUCUGUAAACUUGUCAAUAUAUCAUGAAAUAUACUUCAUUCCCACAUUUGCAAAAUAAAUUUUUUUUUAAAAACUGGACACACCAUUUCCGACACACAAAAUGUGAGCACUGUUAACUUUCAGACUUAUUGAAUCCAGUUGUUACUGUGUUUAACACUUCAUAUUUUCCUGUAGCUAAUAAAUUUUCCAACAUUUUCCAAGA